CCUACGGGAGGCAGCAGUGAGGAAUAUUGGUCAAUGGGCGCGAGCCUGAACCAGCCAAGUAGCGUGAAGGAUGACUGCCCUACGGGUUGUAAACUUCUUUUAUAAAGGAAUAAAGUGUGGCAUGUAUGCCUUUUUGCAUGUACUUUAUGCAUAAGGAUCGGCUCACUCAGUGCCAGCAGCCGCGGUAAUACGGAGGAUGCGAGCGUUAUCCGGAUUUAUUGGGUUUAAAGGGUGCGCAGGCGGAAGAUCAAGUCAGCGGUAAAAUUGAGAGGCUCAACCUCUUCGAGCCGUUGAAACUGGUGUUCUUGAGUGAGCUAGAAGUAUGCAGAAUGCGUGGUGUAGCGGUGAAAUGCAUAGAGAUCACGCAGAACUCCGAUUGCGAAGGCAGCAUACCGGCGCUCAACUGACGCUCAUGCACGAAAGUGUGGGUAUCGAACAGGAUUAGAUACCCUUGUAGUC
rnacentral:rRNA from 1 species